GAGCCGAUGAAGGACGCAACUAACGGCGAUACGCUACGGGCAGGUGUAAGUAACCUAAUAUCCGUAGAUUUCCGAAUGAGGAAACUCACUAGCUUGAAGAGUUAGUAUCACUUACUUUUAGUAAGUGAGGGGACACCUAGAGAACUGAAACAUCUUAGUACCUAGAGGAAAAGAAAGAAAUAUCUAUUCCCUGAGUAGAGGCGAUUGAAAGGGGAGAAGCCGCUGUCACCAAAGAGUUACAAAAUUUCUAUAUAGUUGAAUGGUAUGGAAAGACCAACGAAACAAAGUGAAAGUCUUGUAAGCGAAAUAUAGAGAUCUCUGACAGCAUAAGUAGGGCGGGGCACGUGGAAUCCUGUCUGAAGAUGCGAGGACCACCUCGUAAGGCUAAAUACUACCUAGUGACCGAUAGUGAACCAGUACCGUGAGGGAAAGGUGAAAAGAACCCCGGGAGGGGAGUGAAAAGAACCUGAAACCAUAUACUUACAAUUAGUCAAAGCUCCGUUAAUUUUAUUACGAGUGAUGGCGUGCCUUUUGUAGAAUGAACCGGCGAGUUACGAUAAUUAGCCAGGUUAAACUUUUAGGAGUGGAGCCAUAGCGAAAGCGAGUCUUAAUAGGGCGUUUGUUGAUUGUCGUAGACCCGAAACCGGGUGAUCUAGCCAUGUGCAGGUUGAAGCUUGAGUAAAACCAGGUGGAGGACCGAACCAGGGUCUGUUGCAAUAGACUUGGAUGACGUGUGGCUAGCGGUGAAAUUCCAAUCGAACUCGGAGAUAGCUGGUUCUCCCCGAAAUAGCUUUAGGGCUAGCGUUGUAACUAAAGUUUUAUGGAGGUAGAGCGCUGAAUGAGUGAUGGCCUCACCUAGAGGUACUGAUCUCAAUCAAACUACGAAUGCUAUAAAAGUAUAUACAGCAGUCAGACUGCGAGUGAUAAGGCCCGUAGUCAAAAGGGAAACAGCCCAGACCGCCAGUUAAGGUCCCCAAAUUUAUGCUAAGUGGGAAAGGAUGUGGAAUUGUUUAAACAACUAGGAGGUUGGCUUAGAAGCAGCCAUCCUUUAAAGAGUGCGUAAUAGCUCACUAGUCGAGUGAUUCUGCGCCGAAAAUGUAUCGGGGCUAAGCAUAAUACCGAAACUGCGGAAUUAGUUUAUACUAAUUGGUAGGGGAGCGUACUUUGCCAGAGAAGAUAGAUCGUAAGGACUAUUGGAGGCAAAGCAGUGAGUAUGCCGGUGUGAGUAACGAAAAGAUAGGUGAGAAUCCUAUCCGUCGAAAGCCUAAGGUUUCCAGGGGAAGGGUCGUCCUCCCUGGGUUAGUCGGGUCCUAAGGUGAGGCCGAAAGGCGUAGCUGAUGGACAUCAGGUUGAUAUUCCUGGACCACCUUGUAUAUCUGAUGGAAUGACGAAGAAGGCUAGCCACAGCUGAUUAGUGGAUUUCAGUUGAAGCACAAAGACGGGCAUAUAGGCAAAUCCGUAUGCUAUUAAACGUUGAAGUGUAAGAAUGUGUGGUGAAGCCAAGCUUCCAAGAAAAGUUUCUAAAGUAAGUGCAAGGUGCCCGUACCGCAAACGGACACACGUAGGCGAGGAGAGAAUCCAAAGACGCGCGAGAUAACUCUUGUUAAGGAACUCUGCAAAAUUACCCCGUAACUUCGGAAUAAGGGGGGCUCUUAGAAAUAGAGUCGCAGAUAAUAGGCCCAAGCGACUGUUUACCAAAAACAUAGGUCUCUGCUAAACCGCAAGGUGAAGUAUAGGGGCUGACGCCUGCCCAGUGCUGGAAGGUUAAGAGGAGAUGUUAGUUGGACGUAAGUCAAAUACAGCGAAGCUUCGAAUUGAAGCCCCAGUGAACGGCGGCCGUAACUAUAACGGUCCUAAGGUAGCGAAAUUCCUUGUCAGGUAAGUUCUGACCCGCACGAAAGGCGUAAUGAUCUGGAUACUGUCUCAACCAUAGACUCGGUGAAAUCUUAAUACCUGUGAAAAUGCAGGUUACCCGCAACAGGACGGAAAGACCCCAUGGAGCUUUACUACAGUUUGAUAUUGAAAUCAGGUAUGUCAUGUAGAGGAUAGGUGGGAGACUUUGAUGCUAAGGCGCCAGCCUUAGAGUAGUCAACCUUGGAAUACCACCCUUGAUAUAUUUGAUUUCUAACCUGCUACCGUAAUCCGGUAGGGGGACAGUGUCUGAUGGGUAGUUUGACUGGGGCGGUCGCCUCCCAAAAUGUAACGGAGGCGCCCAAAGGUUCCCUCAGAAUGGUUGGAAAUCAUUCGAAGAGUGUAAUGGCAGAAGGGAGCUUAACUGCGAGACCUACAAGUCAAGCAGAUGCGAAAGCAGGGCAUAGUGAUCUUGCGAUUCAGUAUGGAAUGGUCGUUGCUUAACGGAUAAAAGUUACCCUGGGGAUAACAGGCUGAUCCCACCCAAUAGUUCAUAUAGACGGUGGGGAUUGGCACCUCGAUGUCGGCUCGUCGUAUCCUGGAGGUGUAGUCGCUUCCAAGGGUUGGGCUGUUCGCCCAUUAAAACGGCACGCGAGCUGGGUUCAGAACGUCGUGAGACAGUUCGGUCCCUAUCCGUUGUGGGCGCUGGAAAAUUGAGAAGAGCUAUCCUUAGUACGAGAGGACCGGGAUGGACGUACCGAUGGUGUAUCAGUUGUCACGCCAGUGGCAGCGCUGAGUAGCUAUGUACGGAUGGGAUAACCGCUGAAAGCAUCUAAGCGGGAAGCCCUCUUCAAGAUGAGUUUUCCCUUUCU
rnacentral:rRNA from 1 species